CCUACGGGUGGCAGCAGUGGGGGAUAUUGCACAAUGGGCGAAAGCCUGAUGCAGCCACGCCGCGUGAGGGAUGAAGGUUUUCGGAUUGUAAACCACUGUUCUUGGUGAAGAAAAUGAUGGGACCUAAGCAGAAAGGUAUGGACAAUAUCGUGCCAGCAGCCGCGGUAAUACGUCGGGGGCAAGGGUGGUCCGGAUUUACCGGGUGUAAAGGGUGCGUAGGCGGUUUUGCAAGUCAGACGUGAACCCCUUAGGUUCAACCUGUGGACUGCGUUUGAAACUGGGGGGCUUGAGUGAGUUAGAGGUAGGCGGAAUUCCUGGUGUAGCGGUGAAAUGCGUAGAGAUCAGGAGGAACACCAGUGGCGAAGGCGGCCUACUGGGCCAUAACUGACGCUGAGGCACGAAAGCGUGGGUAGCAAACAGGAUUAGAUACCCUUGUAGUC
rnacentral:rRNA from 1 species